CACGAGGAAACUUGUGCUAAUACCUCAUAAGUCUUUACGGAGAAAGCUUUAUGCGCCAAUGGAUGAGCCCGCACUUGAUUAGUUUGUUGGUGGGGUAAUGGCCUACCAAGACAAUGAUCAAUAGCUGAUUUGAGAGGAUGAUCAGCCACAUUGGGACUGAGACACGGCCCAAACUCCUACGGGAGGCAGCAGUAGGGAAUCUUGCACAAUGGAGGAAACUCUGAUGCAGCGAUGCCGCGUGAGUGAAGAAGGCCCUUGGGUUGUAAAGCUCUUUCGUCGGGGAAGAAAAUGACUGUACCCGAAUAAGAAGGUCCGGCUAACUUCGUGCCAGCAGCCGCGGUAAUACGAAGGGACCUAGCGUAGUUCGGAAUUACUGGGCUUAAAGAGUUCGUAGGUGGUUAAAAAAGUUGGUGGUGAAAGCCCAGAGCUUAACUCUGGAACGGCCAUCAAAACUUUUUAGCUAGAGUAUGAUAGAGGAAAGCAGAAUUUCUAGUGUAGAGGUGAAAUUCGUAGAUAUUAGAAAGAAUACCAAUUGCGAAGGCAGCUUUCUGGAUCAUUACUGACACUGAGGAACGAAAGCAUGGGUAGCGAAGAGGAUUAGAUACCCUCGUAGUCCAUGCCGUAAACGAUGUGUGUUAGAUGUUGGAAAUUUAUUUUCAGUAUCGCAGCGAAAGCAAUAAACACACCGCCU
rnacentral:rRNA from 1 species